rnacentral:lncRNA from 1 species
GCUCUAGUGUCCGUCCCUGCCAAGUACGACCAACAGCAAAAGCAAACCGGAAGCAGCAACGCCGUUCACCUGGAAACAAACAAAUUAUGGGCCCACCAUGCUCUAAUUUUUUGAAGGUGGGCCCACCAUGCUCUGUUGCUCGAGCGCAGAAUGUUCGGCCCACCUCAGAGAAAGCGCGAUCACGCGCCACUCUCGGCCGAUCGUCAG